rnacentral:misc_RNA from 1 species
AAGUCGUAACAAGGUUUCCGUAGGUGAACCUGCGGAAGGAUCAUUAACACGUAUCCAACGUUAAACCCCCUGUGAAUUUUAAGUCCUGCUCCGGAAUCUUUUCAACAGCAAUCCCAGUAAAUCAUUGUUGAACAGUUUUGAUUUGGGACCUCUGUUGAGGAGUGAACGUUGAGACGGUUGAGAUAGGGGCAUGGCUUCCCGAAUCAAUCAUCAAAUGAAAGCGUUGGUGAUUGUGUAAGGAUAACGCUUUUCGAUCACUAGAGGCCGAACACCGGCCGGUGACCAGGUCGCCGUGGCUUCGGCCCCCUAUAUUAACCCCACUACCUGAACUCGCCUCGUAGGAAACUGCUGGGCAACAAAACGAACAACUGUUAACAAUGGAUAUCUUGGUUCUC